rnacentral:rRNA from 1 species
AAUCAGUGUGUGUGUUAGUGGAAGCGUCUGGAAAGGCGCGCGAUACAGGGUGACAGCCCCGUACACAAAAAUACACAUAUUGUGAGCUCGAUGAGUAGGGCGGGACACGUGGUAUCCUGUCUGAAUAUGGGGGGACCAUCCUCCAAGGCUAAAUACUCCUGACUGACCGAUAGUGAACCAGUACCGUGAGGGAAAGGCGAAAAGAACCCCGGCGAGGGGAGUGAAAAAGAACCUGAAACCGUGUACGUACAAGCAGUGGGAGCACGCUUAGGCGUGUGACUGCGUACCUUUUGUAUAAUGGGUCAGCGACUUAUAUUCUGUAGCAAGGUUAACCGAAUAGGGGAGCCGAAGGGAAACCGAGUCUUAACUGGGCGUUAAGUUGCAGGGUAUAGACCCGAAACCCGGUGAUCUAGCCAUGGGCAGGUUGAAGGUUGGGUAACACUAACUGGAGGACCGAACCGACUAAUGUUGAAAAAUUAGCGGAUGACUUGUGGCUGGGGGUGAAAGGCCAAUCAAACCGGGAGAUAGCUGGUUCUCCCCGAAAGCUAUUUAGGUAGCGCCUCGUGAAUUCAUCUCCGGGGGUAGAGCACUGUUUCGGCAAGGGGGUCAUCCCGACUUACCAACCCGAUGCAAACUGCGAAUACCGGAGAAUGUUAUCACGGGAGACACACGGCGGGUGCUAACGUCCGUCGUGAAGAGGGAAACAACCCAGACCGCCAGCUAAGGUCCCAAAGUCAUGGUUAAGUGGGAAACGAUGUGGGAAGGCCCAGACAGCCAGGAUGUUGGCUUAGAAGCAGCCAUCAUUUAAAGAAAGCGUAAUAGCUCACUGGUCGAGUCGGCCUGCGCGGAAGAUGUAACGGGGCUAAACCAUGCACCGAAGCUGCGGCAGCGACGCUUAUGCGUUGUUGGGUAGGGGAGCGUUCUGUAAGCCUGCGAAGGUGUGCUGUGAGGCAUGCUGGAGGUAUCAGAAGUGCGAAUGCUGACAUAAGUAACGAUAAAGCGGGUGAAAAGCCCGCUCGCCGGAAGACCAAGGGUUCCUGUCCAACGUUAAUCGGGGCAGGGUGAGUCGACCCCUAAGGCGAGGCCGAAAGGCGUAGUCGAUGGGAAACAGGUUAAUAUUCCUGUACUUGGUGUUACUGCGAAGGGGGGACGGAGAAGGCUAUGUUGGCCGGGCGACGGUUGUCCCGGUUUAAGCGUGUAGGCUGGUUUUCCAGGCAAAUCCGGAAAAUCAAGGCUGAGGCGUGAUGACGAGGCACUACGGUGCUGAAGCAACAAAUGCCCUGCUUCCAGGAAAAGCCUCUAAGCAUCAGGUAACAUCAAAUCGUACCCCAAACCGACACAGGUGGUCAGGUAGAGAAUACCAAGGCGCUUGAGAGAACUCGGGUGAAGGAACUAGGCAAAAUGGUGCCGUAACUUCGGGAGAAGGCACGCUGAUAUGUAGGUGAAGUCCCUUGCGGAUGGAGCUGAAAUCAGUCGAAGAUACCAGCUGGCUGCAACUGUUUAUUAAAAACACAGCACUGUGCAAACACGAAAGUGGACGUAUACGGUGUGACGCCUGCCCGGUGCCGGAAGGUUAAUUGAUGGGGUCAGCGCAAGCGAAGCUCUUGAUCGAAGCCCCGGUAAACGGCGGCCGUAACUAUAACGGUCCUAAGGUAGCGAAAUUCCUUGUCGGGUAAGUUCCGACCUGCACGAAUGGCGUAAUGAUGGCCAGGCUGUCUCCACCCGAGACUCAGUGAAAUUGAACUCGCUGUGAAGAUGCAGUGUACCCGCGGCAAGACGGAAAGACCCCGUGAACCUUUACUAUAGCUUGACACUGAACAUUGAGCCUUGAUGUGUAGGAUAGGUGGGAGGCUUUGAAGUGUGGACGCCAGUCUGCAUGGAGCCGGCCUUGAAAUACCACCCUUUAAUGUUUGAUGUUCUAACGUGGACCCGUGAUCCGGGUUGCGGACAGUGUCUGGUGGGUAGUUUGACUGGGGCGGUCUCCUCCUAAAGAGUAACGGAGGAGCACGAAGGUUGGCUAAUCCUGGUCGGACAUCAGGAGGUUAGUGCAAUGGCAUAAGCCAGCUUGACUGCGAGCGUGACGGCGCGAGCAGGUGCGAAAGCAGGUCAUAGUGAUCCGGUGGUUCUGAAUGGAAGGGCCAUCGCUCAACGGAUAAAAGGUACUCCGGGGAUAACAGGCUGAUACCGCCCAAGAGUUCAUAUCGACGGCGGUGUUUGGCACCUCGAUGUCGGCUCAUCACAUCCUGGGGCUGAAGUAGGUCCCAAGGGUAUGGCUGUUCGCCAUUUAAAGUGGUACGCGAGCUGGGUUUAGAACGUCGUGAGACAGUUCGGUCCCUAUCUGCCGUGGGCGCUGGAGAACUGAGGGGGGCUGCUCCUAGUACGAGAGGACCGGAGUGGACGCAUCACUGGUGUUCGGGUUGUCAUGCCAAUGGCACUGCCCGGUAGCUAAAUGCGGAAGAGAUAAGUGCUGAAAGCAUCUAAGCACGAAACUUGCCCCGAGAUGAGUUCUCCCUGACCCUUUAAGGGUCCUGAAGGAACGUUGAAGACGACGACGUUGAUAGGCCGGGUGUGUAAGCGCAGCGAUGCGUUGAGCUAACCGGUACUAAUGAACCGUGAGG